rnacentral:lncRNA from 1 species
AAAGGAUAUAAUAAAACGGGAGGGGUGCACUAUCAAUACAAUGGUAGAAUGAGAGUAAAAAUCUAAAUGGGCUUAAGGUCCAAUACAAAACAAGAUAAGAAAAGAAAAAACAUAAAAGUGAGGGGUUUGAAUCAGAAUUUCAAUUGAGGCCCAAACAAGAGGCCCAACAAACAAAAAAUAAGAAAAAAGAACAAGUUCAUGUGUGGCCAUCUGAUUAAGAUCAGAUGGCCAGGAUCUGAUCAAGGUGUUCAAAUAGAUCCAAGUCUCUAAGACACCUAAUUUUGAUCAAAUGGUCAGGUUCUAAGUGUUACCAUGAGAACUCACGCAU